GAAAUGCGAUACGUAGUGUGAAUUGCAGAAUUCAGUGAAUCAUCGAAACCUUGAACGCACCUUGCGCUUGCGGUCACCCGCAAGCAUGCCUGUUUGAGUGUCGUCUAUCCAUCCUCAUCAGAUUCAAAGAUACCCUCUCUGACUUCUGGUGGUGCUGAGCAUUUGCAUCAUUGCAAUCGCUUGAAAAGGAGAGAGGCUACGGGGUACCGGAUUCAGCAUCCGGCAGCUUCUGCAGUCCACGGGUGUCUCUAGCAUGCUCUGUCAUGAUUCACAUCCGUGCUGCAACCGAGGAGCUCCGAAGCAGAAAUCGUACCCUCGCCUUAAUCUGCUACCUGCCCCUCAAAAGGGCAGAUAGAUCGCAUCCAAAACUGCGACCUCAAAUCAGACAAGAUUACCCGCU
rnacentral:misc_RNA from 1 species